UGCGAGUCAUUGUAGCAAUACAAGGCAGACGGCUCAGUAACGCGUAGUCAAUCUACCCUAUGGACGGGAAUAACCUCGGGAAACUGAGAAUAAUGCCCGACAGAACAUUAUACCUGGAACGGUUUAUGUUUCAAAUGAUUUAUCGCCGUAGGAUGGGACUGCGGCCUAUCAGUUUGUUGGUGAGGUAAUGGCCCACCGAGACUAUUACAGGUACGGGCUCUGAGAGGAGUAGCCCGGAGAUGGGUACUGAGACACGGACCCAGGCCCUAUGGGGCGCAGCAGGCGAGAAAACUUUGCAAUGUGCGAAAGCACGACAAGGUUAAUCCGAGUGGUUUCUGCUAAAGAAACCUUUUGCUAGUCCUAGAAACACUAGUGAAUAAGGGGUGGGCAAGUUCUGGUGUCAGCCGCCGCGGUAAAACCAGCACCUCAAGUGGUCAGGAUGAUUAUUGGGCCUAAAGCAUCCGUAGCUCGUUUUGUAAGUUUUCGGUUAAAUCCAUACGCUUAACGUAUGGGCUGCCGGGAAUACUGCAUAACUAGGAAGUGGGAGAGGUAGACGGUACUCGGUAGGAAGGGGUAAAAUCCUUUGAUCUAUUGAUGACCACCUGUGGCGAAGGCGGUCUACCAGAACACGUUCGACGGUGAGGGAUGAAAGCUGGGGGAGCAAACCGGAUUAGAUACCCGGGUAGUCCCAGCUGUAAACUAUGCAAACUCAGUGAUGCAUUGGCUUGUGGCCAAUGCAGUGCUGCAGGGAAGCCGUUAAGUUUGCCGCCUGGGAAGUACGUACGCAAGUAUGAAACUUAAAGGAAUUGGCGGGGGAGCACCACAAGGGUGGAGCCUGCGGU
rnacentral:rRNA from 1 species